AUUGAACGCUGGCGGCAGGCCUAACACAUGCAAGUCGAGCGGAUGAAGGGAGCUUGCUCCUGGAUUCAGCGGCGGACGGGUGAGUAAUGCCUAGGAAUCUGCCUGGUAGUGGGGGAUAACGUCCGGAAACGGGCGCUAAUACCGCAUACGUCCUGAGGGAGAAAGUGGGGGAUCUUCGGACCUCACGCUAUCAGAUGAGCCUAGGUCGGAUUAGCUAGUUGGUGGGGUAAAGGCCUACCAAGGCGACGAUCCGUAACUGGUCUGAGAGGAUGAUCAGUCACACUGGAACUGAGACACGGUCCAGACUCCUACGGGAGGCAGCAGUGGGGAAUAUUGGACAAUGGGCGAAAGCCUGAUCCAGCCAUGCCGCGUGUGUGAAGAAGGUCUUCGGAUUGUAAAGAACUUUAAGUUGGGAGGAGGGGCAGUAAGUUAAUACCUUGCUGUUUUGACGUUACCAACAGAAUAAGCACCGGCUAACUUCGUG
rnacentral:rRNA from 1 species